UCCUGACAGUCGCAUCCCGCGAUUGACACUAGCCACGACAGGAGACACAUAUG
rnacentral:sRNA from 12 species